GCCCGAAAAUGGGUAGACACAAGUGAGCGGAGAGCAUGAUUUCUGAAUGACAAGGAGGACGGUUUAUUGGGAGUUGACAGGUGCAGGAGGAAGGGCUGGGCUGGACCAGGGUCGCGGGGGAGACCCUCGCGGGGUCCUGUGGCUCCAGGCCCCUGAGGGUGGGGGCCCAGGGACCUAGGCGCACUCGGAGGGCGUCACUGUCUUCUCCACAAUGGUCCCCUCGUGGGUGACCUGGCAGGUGAAGCCGCUGGAAGAUUUCCAGUCACUGGCGGACAGGGCCAGGUAGCUGCUGGCCGCGUACUUGUUGUUGCUCUGUUUCGAGGGCUUGGUGGUCUCCACGCCCUGGUGACGGUGGUGCCGCCUGCCUUCCAGGUGAAGCCGCUGGAAGAUUUCCAGUCACUGGCGGACAGGGCCAGGUAGCUGCUGGCCGCGUACUUGUUGUUGCUCUGUUUCGAGGGCUUGGUGGUCUCCACGCCCUGGGUGACGGUGGUGCCGCCUGCCUUCCAGGUCACCGUCACGGCGCCCGGGUAGAAGUCACUUAUUAGACACACCAGGGUGGCCUUGUUGGUGCCGAGCUCCUCAGAGGAGGGCGGGAAGAGGUUGACCGUGGGAGCGGCCUUGGGCUGACCUGGGGGUCGGGGAGAGACGGGAGGUCGUUGGCUCAGUGUCCAUCAG
rnacentral:lncRNA from 1 species